rnacentral:lncRNA from 1 species
CAAACCCUAAGUCAAAACACCAGCCGCUCUCCAUCUCACUUUCACUCUCUAAAUCUGAAUACGCUACACUUUGCUCCGAUCUGGCAACUGUUCUUGAAUAUGGCGAAAUCUAGUCGCCGGAAGCUGUGUUUAUGAAAACAACAAACCAAUUUUCUACUCUUUCUUAAGUUCAAAAAUUUUAACAAAAUCUGGUCACCGGAAGCCAAGGGUGGAUUGUGGUUGUUGCGGAUCGGCGGUGUGUGGUGGUAACGGUGUACGGGUGGUUACCGCAGUGGUGUUGACGGCGGAAGAGUAGUUUUUAAAGUGCAGAUCUCAGGUAGCUUUGUACGGUGGUUGUUGAUGUCGUUUGGAAGCGACCAGAAUUGGUGUCUCGUGAAAAGGGGGGGGGGUGAAGAUGCUGCUGUUGGUGGUGUUGGGUUGAUUGUACGGUGGGGUGAAGGUGAACGCUGACGGUGACGGUGAACGGAGGUGAUGACCAGAGACUUGCAGUGUUCAAGACAGUGAUGGGGGUGUUGGCACGGCGGAUAUCGUAGGUUGCCGGAAAAUUUGUGGCGCCGAAUAAAAACUAACCGGAACCCUAAUUUAAUGGCCGGAAGUUUGCCGGAAAUGCAAAGUUUCAAAACAGAAUGUAUAUAUAUUUGAUUCGUUACUAUAUACGCCAACAGAUCUUUCU